rnacentral:rRNA from 1 species
CAGCAGCCGCGGUAACACGAAGGGGGCUAGCGUUGUUCGGAUUUACUGGGCGUAAAGGGUGCGUAGGCGGACUGAUAAGUCAGGGGCGAAAUCCCAAGGCUCAACCUUGGAACUGCCUUUGAUACUGUUAGUCUUGAGUUCGAGAGAGGUGAGUGGAACUGCGAGUGUAGAGGUGAAAUUCGUAGAUAUUCGCAAGAACACCAGUGGCGAAGGCGGCUCACUGGCUCGAAACUGACGCUGAGGCACGAAAGCGUGGGGAGCAAACAGGAUUAGAUACCCCCGUAGUCCCUGUCUCUUAUAC